rnacentral:rRNA from 1 species
GAUGAACGCUGGCGGCGUGCCUAAUACAUGCAAGUCGAGCGAACAGACGAGGAGCUUGCUCCUAUUACGUUAGCGGCGGGUGGGUGAGUAACACGUGGAUAACCUCCCUAUAAGACUGGGAUAACUUCGGGACAACGACGGUAAUACCAGCUCAUCUAUUGAACCGCAUGGUUCAAUAGUUAAAGACGGUUUUGCUGUCACUUAUAGAUGGAUCCGCGCCGCAUUAGCUAGUUGGUAAGGUAACGGCUUACCAAGGCAACGAUGCGUAGCCGACCUGAGAGGGUGAUCGGCCACACUGGAGCUGAGACACGCUCCAGACGCCUACGGGAGGCAGCAGUAGGGAAUCGUCCGCAAUGGUCGAAAGCCUGACGGAGCAACGCCGCGUGAGUCAUGAAGGUCUUGGGAUCGUAAAACUCUGUUAUGAGUUAAGAACAAAUGUGUAAGUAACUAUGCACGUCUUGACGGUACCUAAUCAGAAAGCCCCGGCUAACUACGUG